GACGAACGCUGGCGGCGUGCUUAACACAUGCAAGUCGAACGGAAAGGCCCUGCUUUUGUGGGGUGCUCGAGUGGCGAACGGGUGAGUAACACGUGAGUAACCUGCCCUUGACUUUGGGAUAACUUCAGGAAACUGGGACUACUACCGGAUAGGAGCUCCUGCUGCAUGGUGGGGGUUGGAAAGUUUCGGCGGUUGGGGAUGGACUCGCGGCUUAUCAGCUUGUUGGUGGGGUAGUGGCUUACCAAGGCUUUGACGGGUAGCCGGCCUGAGAGGGUGACCGGCCACAUUGGGACUGAGAGACGGCCCAGACGCCUACGGGAGGCAGCAGUGGGGAAUAUUGCACAAUGGGCGGAAGCCUGAUGCAGCAACGCCGCGUGCGGGAUGACGGCCUUCGGGUUGUAAACCGCUUUCGCCUGUGACGAAGCGUGAGUGACGGUAAUGUGUAAAGAAGCACCGGCUAACUACGUG
rnacentral:rRNA from 1 species